GACGAACGCUGGCGGCGUGCUUAACACAUGCAAGUCGAACGGAAAGGCCCUGCUUUUGUGGGGUGCUCGCGUAGCGAACGGGUGAGUAACACGUGAGUAACCUGCCCUUUACUUUGGGAUAACUUCAGGAAACUGGGGCUAAUACCGGAUCGGAUCUCCUGCUGCUUGGUGUGGGUUGGAAAGUUUCGGCGGUUGGGGAUGGACUCGCGGCUUAUCAGCUUGCUGGUGGGGUAGUGGCGUACCAAGGCUUUGACGGGUAGCCGGCCUGAGAGGGUGACCGGCCACAUUGGGACUGAGAUACGGCCCAGACUCCUACGGGAGGCAGCAGUGGGGAAUAUUGCACAAUGGGCGGAAGCCUGAUGCAGCAACGCCGCGUGCGGGAUGACGGCCUUCGGGUUGUAAACCGCUUUCGCCUGUGACGAAGCGUGAGUGACGGUAAUGGGUAAAGAAGCACCGGCUAACUACGUG
rnacentral:rRNA from 1 species